rnacentral:rRNA from 1 species
GUGUGGAAUUUUGGACAAUGGGCGAAAGCCUGAUCCAGCAAUGCCGCGUGUGUGAAGAAGGCCUUCGGGUUGUAAAGCACUUUUGUCCGGAAAGAAAUCCUUUGGGUUAAUACCUCGGAGGGAUGACGGUACCGGAAGAAUAAGGACCGGCUAACUACGUGCCAGCAGCCGCGGUAAUACGUAGGGUCCGAGCGUUAAUCGGAAUUACUGGGCGUAAAGCGUGCGCAGGCGGUUUUGUAAGACAGAUGUGAAAUCCCCGGGCUUAACCUGGGAAUUGCAUUUGUGACUGCAAGGCUAGAGUGUGUCAGAGGGGGGUAGAAUUCCACGUGUAGCAGUGAAAUGCGUAGAGAUGUGGAGGAAUACCGAUGGCGAAGGCAGCCCCCUGGGAUAACACUGACGCUCAUGCACGAAAGCGUGGGGAGCAAACAGGAUUAGAAACCCCUGUAGUCC